ensembl:lncRNA
AAACAGUCAAAGUAAUGAGUUUUACAUGGCCAUUUCUCACAAGUUCCUUCAAGAACAUAACAUUAAAAUGCAGCUCAGACCUAGAGAUUUUAAAGACUCCGAAUAUAGUCCCAGUAUGAAGCUUUCCAAUGAUCCAUUUUAAUCUAAGGAUAGAAUUUAGGGAAUUUAUAGGACUAAAUGGGUCAAGUCAUGUUUUAUUAAUUUCGCCCUCUCAGCAAGCCUUUUGAUAGUUCAAGCUGACCAGACGGCAGUUCUUUGAAGAGAGUCCACAGGACAAGUGCUUCGUAUUAGAGAGUUGGUAGAAGACUGUGAAAUAUUAUAAGCCAGAAAAGCAUGUAGUAAAGUCGAUAACCAACUGGGAAAAAUUAAGAGCCUGAUCGGGGCUCUUUCCUGAGCCUCGAGAUCACUUGUAGGUGAUGACAGACUGUCACUCUGGAAGUAGUUUAGGAUAUUUUAACAAAGUAAUAGUCCUCAGAGUACCACCUGUUAUGGACUGAAUUGUGAGCAGCCCCCUCCCCAUUCAUGUGUUGAAGCCCCAACCCCAAGUGACUGUAUUUGGAGGUAGGGCCUAUAAGGGAGAGAAUAAAGGUUAAGUGAGGUCAUAGGGGUGGGGUCUUAUUCCUUAGGACUGGUGUCCUUAUGAGACAAGAGACACAAGAGAGUCCUCUUUCUCAGUGCUCACAGAGGGGAAGCCGCAUGAGGACACAGCGAGAAGGCGGCCAUCUAUGAGCCAGGAAGAGAGCCCUCACCAGAAACCAACCCUAGGGGUGCCUUGAUCUUGGACUUCUAUCCUCCAGAACGAUGAGAAAAUAAAUUUGUGUUGUUUAAGCCAAAAAAAAAAUCAAAUACUUAGUGAUAGAUUUAACAAGAUAGCUGCAAGAUAUUGCUGCAAAACAAAAUAGUCCAAAUUUAGCAGUUUAAAACCACAAAUAUUUCCAGCUCAGUUUCCGUGGAGCAGGAAUCCAGGAGCAGCUUAGCUGUGGUUCUGGCUCAGGGUCUCUCAGGGGCUUGCAGCUCAAAUGUUGGCCAAGGCUGCCGUCAUCUGAAGGCUCCACGUGGUUGUUAGCAGGAUGCCUCAGUUCCUCAGCACGUGGAAAUCUCCCUAGGACUGUUGGCUGAAACAAAGAGUCUGGGUGAUAUUAGUGAAGGAGUUUAUUCAGUAAUCAGCGUGCGGAGUUCCAACCCCGGGAAAAACAGUUCAGCAGAGCGCUCUGAUGGAACUGCUCCGAAGAACUUCUACAUGUCCUUCAAGGCCCAGAAAAUGCCACUUCUUCCAGGAAGCCCUCCACACCCUUCUUCCACCCAGUCAGGCAGAACUCUUGUCUCUUUCCUGAGAGCCCCACAGCACCUCCCACCACCUAGGCAAUGGCACCCGUCACUGUGCCUGGGAAUUACCUGACAAUGCCUGUGCCAGACUGUGUGCACCAGUGCCUUGAAGAAGCCUCCCAAGAAUCCUUGGAGGGAGAUGAAGAAGACGAUGAUGACGGCAGCAAAGACUGGCCAGGUGCAAAGCCGGCUCGAAGCCUUCUACAUAUGCUGCUAGACCCUUCUACCCUCACAACAGCCGGGUGAGGUGGGUACUAUUAUUACAGGCCCAUCUGACAGAUGAGGAAACUGAGGUCCAGAGAGGCAAAUGCACUUGCCCCGGGUCACACUGGAAGUGACAGAGCCAGGAGCUAACCCCGCAGUGUUCCAGAUACCAUGGUGUUCCCACAGUGCUUCGGCCCUUUCCAGAUGAGGACGCUGAGGCUCUUUCCCUGAGCCCGAACUCACCAUCCCCAUGAGGAGCAGAGGCAUAAUUUGCACCCAGGAGCCUGUGAUGCCAGAGCGCCACACUCCCA